CAUAUGGAUUCCAGAGAUUCCUGUGUGCACUGAGGCCACAGGUGAAGGAACCCCUGAAGGGAGACCCUCACUCCAGUCUCAGGAAUCGAGAGCCCAGAAAGUCACAACAGUCA
rnacentral:pre_miRNA from 7 species